rnacentral:rRNA from 1 species
AUGAACGCUGGCGGCGUGCCUAAUACCUGCAAGUCGAGCGAACGGACGAGAAGCUUGCUUCUCUGAUGUUAGCGGCGGGCGGGUGAGUAACACGUGGAUAACCUACCUAUAAGACUGGGAUAACUUCGGGAAACCGGAGCUAAUACCGGAUAAUAUUUUGCACCGCAUGGUUCAAAAGUAAAAGACGGUCUUGCUGUCACUUAUAGAUGGAUCCGCGCUGCAUUAGCUAGUUGGUAAGGUAACGGCUUACCAAGGCAACGAUGCAUAGCCGACCUAAGAGGGUGAUCGGCCACACUGGAACUGAGACACGGUCCAGACUCCUACGGGAGGCAGCAGUAGGGAAUCUUCCGCAAUGGGCGAAAGCCUGACGGAGCAACGCCGCGUGAGUGAUGAAGGUCUUCGGAUCGUAAAACUCUGUUAUUAGGGAAGAACAUAUGUGUAAGUAACUGUGCACAUCUUGACGGUACCUAAUCAGAAAGCCACGGCUAACUACGUG